rfam:Homo sapiens chromosome 10, GRCh38 reference primary assembly.
GUGGAUUACAGUACAUGUACUAAAAUUGGAAUGAUAUACUAAAAUUGGAAGAUCAGCAUGGCCCCUGCGCAAGGAUGACAUGCAAAUUCAUGACGUGUUCAAUAUUUUU